AAGUCGUGGUUGCCCAACAGCUUAUCAGCCAAGUUUUUGUCAGAAUAUACAUCUCUUAUGUAGAACCCGGGGCUGUGCUUUUUUGGCCAAUAUCGAGAUUCGAGAGUAGUAACUAGCCUAGCACGAAGUGGGAGUGGAUCCUUCUUGUGCUUCUUCUCAAAUGGCGAUCGUCUUGAAACUCGGAGUGCGGACUGGGGCUUCUCUUCUUCCUCCUCUUUAGAAGGUCAUGGCAGAAGUGUUCGUGUAACGUGUGCACUUCUAGUUGCUCUAGGUGUGGCUGACGACUGGAAAGAUGCUGAGAGGUGGUCAAAGAAGAGGCCUCAAAUUAGAAUGAAUGCUUAUCAUGGAAAAAACUAGGAGGAAUGGACCAAAUACUGCUGCUUGUCAAAAGGAGGAUAAGUAGCCACAGUUUAAUUGAUUCCCUGAUACCUAUCAGAGGACUGGUACAAGUCCAAUGGCAUUAUUUUCUUAGCAUUAUAGAUUUAUGUUUAAAUCCACAAACAGCGUGGAAUCAGGAAUGUAAUUCUUCAUUCCCUUUUCUGUGUUGAUAUUGGAUAGUCUUGUCCGCCUGGCGUCGUGUGCAUUACUCUGUCUUCUUCUAGUCUAUUUUGAACCUUCAGCUGUGAUAUUAAUCAAAAAUAACAGUUGACAAUCAGGUGCUGUUGCUAUUA